rnacentral:rRNA from 1 species
UAAUUCUAGAGCUAAUACAUGCUGUGCGCCUGACUUUUUGGAAAGGCGGUAUUUAUUAGAUAACAACCAAUAUUCCGUAGGUCUAUCGUGGUGAGUCAUAAUAACUGAUCGAAUUGCAAAGCCUUUGGCUGCGAUAAGUCAUUCAAGUUUCUGCCCCAUCAGCUGUAGAUGGUAGUGUAUUGGACUACCAUGGCUUUCACGGGUAACGGAGGAUUAGGGUUCGAUUCCGGAGAGGGAGCCUGAGAAACGGCUACCACAUCUAAGGAAGGCAGCAGGCGCGUAAAUUACCCAAUCCUGACUCAGGGAGGUAGUGACAAGAAAUAACGAGCAGUGACAUCUGUUACUGAAUU